rnacentral:rRNA from 1 species
AGUGAACGCUGGCGGUAUGCCUAACACAUGCAAGUCGAGCGACAGCACAGUAAGAUCUUUCUCUUACCGUUGGCGAGUGACGGACGGGUGAGACAUACAUCGCCUUCUACUUUUUCUUGGGGGAUUACGUGAGGCAACUUACGCUAAUACCUCAUACGACCUACGGGUUGAAUCAAGAGUUCUUCACACCUUUCCCGUUUCAUUUAGACGAUGUCGGAUUAGCUAGUUGGCUGGGUAAAGGCCCACCAAGGCAACGAUGCGUAGCUGGUCUGAGAGGAUGAUCGGCCACACUGGAACUGAGACACGGUCCAGACUCCUACGGGAGGCAGCAGUAGGGAAUAUUGCGCAAUGGGCGCAAGCCUGAUCGAGCCAUACCGCGUGAGUGAAGAAGGCCUUCGGGUUGUAAAGCUCUGUUGUUGGGAAAGAAAAGAAGUAGAAGAAUAUCCGGAUGUUUUGACGGUACCCAAAGAGAAAGCAACGGCUAACUUCGUG